rnacentral:lncRNA from 1 species
UGAAAGGCCAGAAGCCUUCCCUUAUGGGAGACCGUUGUCUGAUGUACUAGACCAGACUCUUAGAUUGAACUUUGAUUGUGUAAUAAAUCUGUUCUCUCUUUCAAACAGGUCUGGUACAGGGAAACCUGAUAAUCCUGCAUGUAACAUAUACACUGGGGAAGAAGCAGACCCUGUAAACCCCUCCUGCCAGCUCUGCACUGAGGAGGCAACGGGCUCAUUUCUGCUGCGGAGGCUAGCCUCUGCAACGUGAGUAAAUUGAAUAUAACCGUAUAAUGGUCGUGUCAUUUACGCAAAAGACCGAGGAGCACCAGCUGGAACGGAGGGAAUGAGAGUGCUGCCAACCUCCUUCAGGAUGAACGCUCCUCAGAGUCCUUGGUGAGUGAGAAUUUCUCAGGUCAUUUAAUGCAGCUCCAACCCAUGGCACUUACCUCCACACCUUCCCUUGCUUUUGCAGAUUUGGUCCUGGAGUGCAAUGCAGACCGAGGGCCUGCUCUCCGACGAGCGUGCUGCACUCCCUGCCCGUCUGCAGGGCCCAUUAGUGGUAAUGAGGUGGCUGUCUGCAGCCUCUCCCCGUGCCCGCAAAAGGAAAAUCAAACCCUUUCCUCUGUAUGGUCCCCACAGUGGAUUCAGUAACUGUAGACAGGCACACUUUCAGAGUGGAGAUUCCCAGAUUUUACUGCGUGAAGCCACUAAAAUAAAAACUGCAAGCGUUUGUCUCAAGUCAAAAGACGUGGCAUAA